rnacentral:rRNA from 1 species
UUUUAUUUGAGAGUUUGAUCCUGGCUCAGGAUGAACGCUGGUGGCGUGCCUAACACAUGCAAGUUGAGCGAUUUACUUCGGUAAAGAGCGGCGGACGGGUGAGUAACGCGUGGGUAACCUACCCUGUACACACGGAUAACAUACCGAAAGGUAUGCUAAUACGGGAUAA